rnacentral:rRNA from 1 species
AGAGUUUGAUCCUGGCUCAGGAUGAACGCUAGCUACAGGCUUAACACAUGCAAGUCGAGGGGCAGCGAGAGGAAAGCUUGCUUUCCUUGUCGGCGACCGGCGCACGGGUGAGUAACGCGUAUCCAACCUUCCGCAUAGUAGGGAAUAGCCCGGCGAAAGUCGGAUUAAUGCCCUAUGUUUUCCGAUGAGGACAUCUGAGCUGGAACAAAGAUUUAUCGCUAUGCGAUGGGGAUGCGUCUGAUUAGCUUGUCGGCGGGGUAACGGCCCACCGAGGCAACGAUCAGUAGGGGUUCUGAGAGGAAGGUCCCCCACAUUGGUACUGAGACACGGACCAAACUCCUACGGGAGGCAGCAGUGAGGAAUAUUGGUCAAUGGUCGAGAGACUGAACCAGCCAAGUAGCGUGCAGGACGACGGCCCUAUGGGUUGUAAACUGCUUUUAUAUGGGGAUAAAGUGCGGCACGUGUGCCGUUUUGUAGGUACCAUAUGAAUAAGGACCGGCUAAUUCCGUGCCAGCAGCCGCGGUAAUACGGAAGGUCCGGGCGUUAUCCGGAUUUAUUGGGUUUAAAGGGAGCGCAGGCGGGCUUUUAAGCGUGACGUGAAAUGUGGAUGCUCAACAUCCGAGCUGCGUCGCGAACUGGAGGCCUUGAGUGAGUACGACGUGGACGGAAUUCGUGGUGUAGCGGUGAAAUGCUUAGAUAUCACGAAGAACCCCGAUUGCGAAGGCAGUCCACGAGUCCUUUACUGACGCUAAAGCUCGAAAGUGCGGGUAUCGAACAGGAUUAGAUACCCUGGUAGUCCGCACGGUAAACGAUGAAUGCCCCGCUGUUUGCGACAUACUGUAAGCGGCCAAGAGAAAUCGUUAAAGCAUCCCACCUGGGGAGUACGCCGGCAAACGGUGAAACUCAAAGGAAAUUGACGGGGGCCCGCACAAGCGGAGGAACAUGUGGUUUAAUUCGAUGAUACGCGAGGAACCUUACCCGGGCUUGAACUGCAGCGGAAGGAUACAGAGAUGUUGACGCCCUUCGGGGCCGCUGUGGAGGUGCUGCAUGGUUGUCGUCAGCUCGUGCCGUGAGGUGUCGGCUUAAGUGCCAUAACGAGCGCAACCCCUUUCGUCAGUUGCCAUCAGGUCAAGCUGGGCACUCUGGCGACACUGCCACCGUAAGGUGUGAGGAAGGUGGGGAUGACGUCAAAUCAGCACGGCCCUUACGUCCGGGGCUACACACGUGUUACAAUGGGUGGUACAGAGAGUCGGCCGCUGGCAAUGGCGGUCCAAUCAUCAAAGCCAUCCUCAGUUCGGAUUGGGGUCUGCAACCCGACCCCAUGAAGCUGGAUUCGCUAGUAAUCGCGCAUCAGCCAUGGCGCGGUGAAUACGUUCCCGGGCCUUGUACUCACCGCCCGUCA